rnacentral:pre_miRNA from 1 species
CACCUACUCCCUCCGUUCGGAAUUACUUGUCGCAGAAAUGGAUGUAUCUAGACGUAUUUUAAUUCUAGAUACAUCCAUUUCCGAGACAAGUAAUUCCGAAUGGAGGGAGUAUGUG